AAAUAUUAGUCAAUGCUCGCAAGAGUGAACUAGCUAACUGAAAUCACAAAAACACAAAUGGUGCUUAUUGUGAUAACGUAAGGGAAAAAAAUGAUAUCACCUUACUAUAAGUGUUGUCUAAAUAACUGGUGCCAGAAGACUCGGUAACACCAGAAACGCGAACGUUAGUCGUCUUAAACAGGCGUAAAGGGUAAGUAGGCUGCUUUAAACGUCUUUUUUUAAAAAAGCUAAUUAAUAAUUUAACCUAAAAUUUUUCAGACCUUAAUUUAUAAUUUAAGGCUAACUAAUAAUGAAAAAAGGUAAUUAUUAGUUUUUCUAAUAAUUAUAAUUAUUAAAUUAAAAAAAUAGAUACACUUAAAGCUAGAAUCAUAAUUGAGAUAAACCAAAUAAUACUUAUGUGUAAGGGCGAUAUCUGAAAAUACUAAGUAGAAUACUAACGGUGAAAACUUUUUAUCUAGUAAUGAUUGACGCUGAGGUACGAAAGUGAGAACAGGGAAUAGGAUGUGCGACUUGAAAGCUUAAAUAAUGUAUAGUAUUCUAAGAAUACAUUAUCAUUCGUCUGAUAAUAGCCAACCUAAACAUGCAUAACUAGUAAUGGUUUUGUGUGAAGCUUUAGGGUAAAGUUAUUUAAUUCA
rnacentral:rRNA from 1 species